CUUAUGCCGGCGACCGGCGGACGGGUGCGUAACGCGUAUGUAACCUACCUUUGACAGGGGGAUAACAUCGAGAAAUUGGUACUAACUACCCCAUAACAUCACCGGAGGCAUCUUCGGUGGUUGAAAACUCAGGUGGUCAGAGAUGGACAUGCGUUGUAUUAGCUAGUUGGUGAGGUAACGGCUCACCAAGGCGACGAUACAUAGGGGGACUGAGAGGCCAACCCCCCACAUUGGUACUGAGACACGGACCAAACUCCUACGGAAGGCAGCAG
rnacentral:rRNA from 1 species